GACGAACCACACAAACGUUAUUCGGAAUUACUGGGCGUAAAGCGUGCGCAGGCGGCGCGUUAAGACAGGUGUGAAAGCCCCGAGCUUAACUUGGGAAUUGCGCUUGUGACUGGCGUGCUGGAGUGUGGCAGAGGGAGGUGGAAUUCCACGUGUAGCAGUGAAAUGCGUAGAGAUGUGGAGGAACACCGAUGGCGAAGGCAGCCUCCUGGGCCAGCACUGACGCUCAUGCACGAAAGCGUGGGGAGCAAACAGG
rnacentral:rRNA from 1 species